GCAGGUGAAUACAACGUUGAGCGAUGAACGUUGUGCUCCAUAAUUGUAGUUUUUCUCAUAUUGAGUUCUUAAUACAGAAUAAUUGACCAUUAUUACACCGAUGUUUAUUAACAUCGGUUUUU
rnacentral:sRNA from 19 species